AAGUUCAUUUAACAGUGUUCUCCCCAGGAUUUUUGGAUAGCGCUGUGGUAAGCGCGUAAUUUUCGACAAUUCUCAGUAACUUUAUUGCGGCGCGCGUUUUGUUUGUAAUUGAUUUGAUGUGUUUUUAUUAUAUUAUGCUAUUGAUGUUUUCUCUUGUAAUGAUGUCCUCAUCAUGCUCAUGAUAGUUACAAUGUACCCCUUCGUUUGUUAAUGUUUUUGUCUGGAUACACAUGAUAUAGAAGAAGAGUCUUUUUUUUUCC
rnacentral:lncRNA from 1 species